UCUGACUCAACAGGAGACUGGGUUAACACUGGACAGUCACGUGGCCAUUAAUGCCAAUCAUGUGCACCUGAAGUUCACCAACCACUUGUCAGGCAAAUGCGUUUCUCUGCAUCACGACAGGGCAGGAACCAGAGCACAAGACCGUCACCUCUGGUUUCCCUGGUGUUAUGCACUGGCUCAGAGAUGCCGGCAGGGAUGCCUGACAGCCAGCUUGGCUUUUGGCUUAUUACAUUUGUUUGUUACUCUCAGACUGAGUGGAAAGAGCAAGAAGCAUAACAUGGGUUUCAAACAUUGUACAGAAGAGGGAAAAUGCAGAGGUAAGACGAGGCUGGGCACUGCCAGGGCCUGCGUGUAUACAUCCACUGGCAGUGUGAGCCCGGGGUGAGUGAGUGUCCUGCCUCCAGAGGCUCUCUGCAUGGUGGCCUAGAAACAACAGGAGAGAUAGUACUUGGGUAGAACUACUUAUUUUUCCCAAAGUACACAAUCUAAAACAAAAGGGGGCUCAUCUUAGGUGAUUCGGUAAAAUUUCCCACCUUCGUUUGUCCAAUUUCAAUCUUGUUGAAGAGAACAAUGUAUUUUAGACAAAGAAUGAGAAUUCAAGCUUUUGGUUGGUUUGUUCUUAAAAAGGGGGAAUUACCAGGAAAAGACCAGUAACACCAGUGCUGGAAACGGGACCUUAGAGCUUAAGCUGAGUGCAUGGCUUGUGGAAGUCAGAAGAAAUGCGGUUACUGUCUUCUUCCAAGAUAAUCUGUCAUCCGAGAUGUCAUGGAGCUGGAUCUGACCCAUUCAUUUAAUAUUUAUCGGUGAUGUCAGCAAUACACACUUCAAGGAAAAUAAAAAAUGGGAAAUAAAAAAUGUCCCAAAAGCCAGAAGUUUGAACGUGCUUCCUCUGUCUUGUGGCAGCAAUUUGAAUUCAUUCUGUAAUAUCUAUUCAGCAAGUGUUUAUUGUACGCCUACUAAGGGCCGGGUACUACAGAUCUUUAAAUUCUGAAUUUCCAGGAUCUUGCCCUCAACUGUAACGGUGACAAAUAACAAAUUCUGAGUAGCCUAUCGAAUCAAUUCUAGGAAAGUUUACCCUCACUCACUUCAGGUUGUAAGAUGCUUUUCAGGAAAGGGCCUGCGACUUAUAGAACUUCUCCUAAAUUUCUUCAAGCUAUUAUAGUCUACUCUAUUAUUCAUAAAUUUAUUUUCUGAAUGGGCUUGAUUUCGCAAUUAUAGAAAUUUUAAAAACUGGAAUUAUGCUACUUCUCCCAUCUUUAUCAAAGAAAGAACAGUUAUUAAAUAACUAAAUGUAAUUUCCACUUCAGGAAAAUAAAUAUUUGUGAAUAAAUCAAUUAACUGGUAUUCCAACGUCCUGCCAGUAAGUUUCUAUGUAUUAGAUCAGUCGAAUUAACAUCAGGGGAUGGCACUAAUAAUUAUCAUUCAUUUCGGGAUCCCUGGGUGGCGCAGCGGUUUGGCGCCUGCCUUUGGCCCAGGGCGCGAUCCUGGAGACCCGGGAUCGAAUCCCACGUCAGGCUCCCGGUGCAUGGAGCCUGCUUCUCCCUCUGCCUGUGUCUCUGCCUCUC
rnacentral:lncRNA from 1 species